CUAGAUCCUCCAGGAUGCAAAGACUGAUGGGAGAAUGGAGGAGGAAGCAACAUGGCAGGGCAGACUGAACAUGAUGGGGCUGGGAAUGAAGUAAGCGUACUGCCUUUGAGUAGAUAAUCAUUGUGCAGAGAGAAGACUGGAGACAGCUGACCCUACCUUCUGGUUUCUGACAGAAUGAGGUCCACCACAAAACUGGAGGAAGAAAAAUUCUCCCCACUCUUGAAGACAACAGACCAUGCAAGAAUCCCUGCUCAGAUCCCUGCAGAGACAGCUGUGGAAGCUGUGAGGAGAGGCUGCUGCAGUCCUAGAAGCCUUCCUGAAAGAGCUGCAGUCAAGUUCAAGGGCGUCAUGCCCUGCUCACCAGGGUUAUCCUCCACUGUCUCUUUUUUUCUCUUUUAAAUAUGAUAUCUCCUGUAAGAAAUAAUCUGGGCAAAGCCUCGCCAAUCAAAAAGCAUUUAGAUGACAAAUCAGAACAUGGCUUCUUUUCAGAAAAUAGAUGUCACCCUUUUCAUCCUAAAUCAAGGCAGCUAAAGAUGAACUUCCAUCUUUCAACAUAGGUGUCUUGGACACUAUUCAUAGACUUGUCUCAUCAUAGCUGACAUAAGUGGAAAGAAUUGUGAAGCCAGAGCUGGUCAUAGAAACUUAGAUACCACCAAGCUAUCUGGAAGUUUUACAUUGUAACUGUGGCUUAGAAUAAAGAGGCAAAGAACUUUAGAGCGAUAAAGAGG
rnacentral:lncRNA from 1 species